GCGUCGGUGGUACAACGGUUAGCAUUCGCUCCCGGGAGGACUGAUAUUCUGGGUUCAAAUCCCGGCUAACGCA